GUCUUCGUGGUGUAAUGGUCAACACACUUGGCGCGUAUUCGAGAGGUCCAAGGUUCGACUCCCGGCGAGGGCA
rnacentral:tRNA from 1 species